rnacentral:rRNA from 1 species
AGGGAUCAUUACUGAGUGAGGGUUUCGGCCCGACCUCCAACCCCUAUGUAUUCCGACUCUGUUGCCUCGGGGGCGACCCUGCCUUCGGGUGUUGGGGCCCCCGGUGGACACCAUAACUCUGCAUCUUUGCGUCUGAGUAACAUUUUGAAUUAAAUCAAAACUUUCAACAACGGAUCUCUUGGUUCUGGCAUCGAUGAAGAACGCAGCGAAAUGCGAUAAGUAAUGUGAAUUGCAGAAUUCAGCGAAUCAUCGAAUCUUUGAACGCACAUUGCGCCCUUUGGUAUUCCGAAGGGCAUGCCUGUUCGAGCGUCAUUAGACCAAUCAAGCUAUGCUUGGCCUUGGGCUGUCGCCCCCUCUCCGGAGGUGGGCGUGCCCCAAAUGACCCCCGGCGGAGUCGAUCCGGCCCUGGGCGUAGUAGAAAUUAUCACGUCGAGAGGGUCCGGUUGGCUUUUGCCGUCGAAACACCAACUCUUUUUUCAAAGGUUGACCUCGGAUCAGGUAGGGAUACCCGCUGAACUUAA